UACGGAGGGUGCAAGCGUUGUCCGGAAUCACUGGGCGUAAAGGGCGCGUAGGCGGCUCAUGAAGGCUGUGGUGAAAGUCCGGGGCUCAACCUCGGAUCGGCCGUGGGCGACUCGUGGGCUGGAGCACUGUAGAGGCGGGUGGAAUUCCGGGUGUAGCGGUGGAAUGCGUAGAGAUCCGGAAGAACACCAGUGGCGAAGGCGGCCCGACUGGGCAGUGGCUGACGCUGAGGCGCGACAGCGUGGGGAGCAAACAGG
rnacentral:rRNA from 1 species